rnacentral:rRNA from 1 species
CCCUUAGAUGUUCGGGGCCGCACGCGCGCUACACUGAAGGACUCAGCGUGUCUCUCCCCCUAUCCCGAAAGGGAUGGGCAACCCGUUGAACCUCCUUCGUGCUAGGGAUUGGGGUUUGCAAUUAUCCCCCAUGAACGAGGAAUUCCCAGUAAGCGCGAGUCAUCAGCUCGCGUUGAUUACGUCCCUGCCCUUUGUACACACCGCCCGUCGCACCUACCGAUUGAAUGGUCCGGUGAAGCCUCCGGAUUGGCGCGCACCUCGGUGCCGCCGAGAAGUUGGCUAAACCUUACCAUUUAGAGGAAGGUGAAGUCGUAACA